AAUGACUCUCGGCAACGGAUAUCUCGGCUCUCGCAUCGAUGAAGAACGCAGCGAAAUGCGAUACUUGGUGUGAAUUGCAGGAUCCCGCGAACCAUCGAGUUUUUGAACGCAAGUUGCGCCCAAAGCCUUUUGGUUGAGGGCACGUCUGCCUGGGUGUCACUU
rnacentral:rRNA from 1 species